UACGGGGGGGGCAAGCGUUGUUCGGAAUUACUGGGCGUAAAGCGUGCGUAGGCGGUUGGCAAAGUCAGCUGUGAAAUCCCCGGGCUCAACCUGGGAACUGCAUUUGUGACUGCAUCGCUGGAGUGCGGCAGAGGGGGAUGGAAUUCCGCGUGUAGCAGUGAAAUGCGUAGAUAUGCGGAGGAACACCGAUGGCGAAGGCAAUCCCCCUGGGCCUGCACUGACGCUCAUGCACGAAAGCGUGGGGAGCAAACAGG
rnacentral:rRNA from 1 species